AUUGAACGCUGGCGGCAGGCUUAACACAUGCAAGUCGAGCGGGGGAAGGUAGCUUGCUACCGGACCUAGCGGCGGGCGGGUGAGUAAUGCUUAGGAAUCUGCCUAUUAGUGGGGGACAACAUCUCGAAAGGGAUGCUAAUACCGCAUACGUCCUACGGGAGAAAGCAGGGGAUCUUCGGACCUUGCGCUAAUAGAUGAGCCUAAGUCGGAUUAGCUAGUUGGUGGGGUAAAGGCCUACCAAGGCGACGAUCUGUAGCGGGUCUGAGAGGAUGAUCGGCCACACUGGGACUGGGACACGGCCCAGACGCCUCCGGGAGGCAGCAGUGGGGAAGAUUGUACAAUGGGGGGAACCGUGAUCCAGCCAUGCCGCGUGUGUGAAGAAGGCCUUAUGGUUGUAAAGCACGUUAAGCGAGGAGGAGGCUACUUUAGUUAAUACCUAGAGAUAGUGGACGUUACUCGCAGAAUAAGCACCGGCUAACUCUGUGCCAGCAGCCGCCGUAA
rnacentral:rRNA from 1 species